rnacentral:rRNA from 1 species
GACGAACGCUGGCGGCGUGCUUAACACAUGCAAGUCGAACGAUGAAGAAGAGAAACGCGAACUUCGGUUCAAAUUUCACUUCGGAUUAGUGGCAGACGGGUGAGUAACGCGUGAGCAACCUACCUCUUACAAAGGGAUAGCCUCGGGAAACCGUGAUUAAUACCAUAUGACACAUUCAUAAGGCAUCUUAAGAAUGUUAAAGCUACGGCGGUAAGAGAUGGGCUCGCGUCCCAUUAGCUAGUUGGUGAGGUAAGGGCCCACCAAGGCGACGAUGGCUAACCGGCAUGAGAGACUGAACCGUCACAUUGAAACUGAGACACAGUCCAGACUCCUACGGGAUGGAGCAGUGGGGGAUAUUGCACCAUGGAGGGAACUCUGAUGCAGCGACGACGCGUGAGCGAUGAAGGAAUUCGUUAAGUAAAGCUCUGUUCUAUGGGAAGAAAAGGACUGUACCAAAGGAGAAAGCCCCGGCUAACUACGUG